UACAGAGGGGGCAAGCGUUGUUCGGAAUUACUGGGCGUAAAGGGCGCGUAGGCGGCCUUCUAAGUCGAACGUGAAAUCCCCGGGCUCAACCCGGGAACUGCGUCCGAUACUGGAAGGCUUGAAUCCGGGAGAGGGAUGUGGAAUUCCAGGUGUAGCGGUGAAAUGCGUAGAUAUCUGGAGGAACACCGGUGGCGAAGGCGACACCUGGACCGGUAUUGACGCUGAGGCGCGAAAGCCAGGG
rnacentral:rRNA from 1 species